rnacentral:rRNA from 1 species
GCGCACGCUGGCGGCGUGCUUAACACCUGCAAGUCGCACGGAAAGGCCCUGCUUUUGUGGGGUGCUCGAGUGGCGAACGGGUGAGUAACACGUGAGUAACCUGCCCUUGACUUUGGGAUAACUUCAGGAAACUGGGGCUAAUACCGGAUAGGAGCUCCUGCUGCAUGGUGGGGGUUGGAAAGUUUCGGCGGUUGGGGAUGGACUCGCGGCUUAUCAGCUUGUUGGUGGGGUAGUGGCUUACCAAGGCUUUGACGGGUAGCCGGCCUGAGAGGGUGACCGGCCACAUUGGGACUGAGAUACGGCCCAGACUCCUACGGGAGGCAGCAGUGGGGAAUAUUGCACAAUGGGCGGAAGCCUGAUGCAGCAACGCCGCGUGCGGGAUGACGGCCUUCGGGUUGUAAACCGCUUUCGCCUGUGACGAAGCGUGAGUGACGGUAAUGGGUAAAGAAGCACCGGCUAACUACGUG